GACGAACGCUGGCGGCGUGGAUUAGGCAUGCAAGUCGAACGGUAUCAUCCUUUCGGGGGUGAGAGAGUGGCGAACUGGUGAGUAACACGUAGGUUAUCUACCCUCAAGACGGGGACAACCCAGGGAAACUUGGGCUAAUACCGGAUGUGAGCAACUUUUAGUUGUUUGAAAGGUGGCGUAAGCUGUCGCUUGGGGAUGAGCCUGCGUCCUAUUAGUUAGUUGGUGAGGUAACGGCUCACCUAGGCAAUGAUAGGUAGGCGGCCUUAACGGGUGGUCGCCCACACUGGGAUUGAGAUACGGCCCAGACUCCUACGGGAGGCAGCAGUCGAGAAUAGUCUACAAUGGUCGGAAGACUGAUAGUGCGACGCCGCGUGAACGAUGAAUCCCUUCGGGGUGUAAAGUUCUUUUAUAUGUGAGCAGUGCUUCUUAUAUUAACAGUAUGGGGAGAGAGAUAUUAGCAUAUGAAUAAGCAACGGCUAACUCCGUGCCAGCAGCCGCGUAAU
rnacentral:rRNA from 1 species